rnacentral:misc_RNA from 1 species
CCCGCCUCUGGCGGUUAUGUUUGGUCAAUUUCUUUUGACCGGGGUCUACGGACCCC